CGCACGGGUGAGUAACACGUAUGCAAUCCACCUGUAACAGGGGGAUAACCCGGAGAAAUCCGGACUAAUACCCCAUAAUAUGGGCGCUCCGCAUGGAGAGCCCAUUAAAGAGAGCAAUUUUGGUUACAGCGAGCAUGCGCUCCAUUAGCCAGUUGGCGGGGUAACGGCCCACCAAAGCGACGAUGGAUAGGGGUUCUGAGAGGAAGGUCCCCCACAUUGGAACUGAGACACGGUCCAA
rnacentral:rRNA from 1 species